rnacentral:sRNA from 1 species
GCGGAGAGGGGGGCGCUCGGCGACGGCGGCGGCGGGGAGGGCGGCGGGAGCGCACAGACACGCACACGCACACGCGCACACACGGACACACACUCCGCGGACUCACACCCGCGCGCACACACGCAGAGGCCGCUCGCCUUCCUGCCUGGCUUCCUUCCUGUCUGCUCCGCGCCUGACAGGCCCCUCGCCGCAGCCAGGGGCCGCCCGCACCGGGCCGAGGCCGGGCCGGGCCGGCGGCGAGCGCAGCGGGGGCCGCGGGCGGCGGCGGCGGCUCAUGCCCGGCCUGUCCCCGCGAGGGGCGGGCACCGUGACUCGGCUGGGCCCCCAGAGGCGGGCGAUGUGAAGAUGUCAGUGGGCUGUGCCUGUCCUGGUUGUUCCUCAAAGUCAUUCAAGCUGUACUCGCCGAAGGAGCCCCCGAACGGCAACGCCUUUCCCCCCUUCCAUCCCGGCACCAUGCUGGAUAGGGAUGUGGGCCCAACUCCCAUGUAUCCGCCUACAUACCUGGAGCCAGGGAUUGGGAGGCACACACCAUAUGGCAACCAAACUGACUACAGAAUAUUUGAGCUUAACAAACGGCUUCAGAACUGGACAGAGGAGUGUGACAAUCUCUGGUGGGAUGCAUUCACGACUGAGUUCUUUGAGGAUGAUGCCAUGUUGACCAUCACUUUCUGCCUGGAGGAUGGACCAAAGAGAUAUACCAUUGGCCGGACCCUGAUCCCACGCUACUUCCGCAGCAUCUUUGAGGGGGGUGCUACGGAGCUGUACUAUG